rfam:Alligator mississippiensis ScZkoYb_113.1, whole genome shotgun sequence.
GACUCUGUGGCGCAAUGGCAGCAUGUCUGACUCCAGAUCAGAAGGCCGUGUGUUCAAGUCACACCAGGGUCA